AGUCGAGCGGAUGAAGGGAGCUUGCUCCCGGAUUUAGCGGCGGACGGGUGAGUAAUGCCUAGGAAUCUGCCUGGUAGUGGGGGACAACGACUCGAAAGGGUCGCUAAUACCGCAUACGUCCUACGGGAGAAAGUGGGGGAUCUUCGGACCUCACGCUAUCAGAUGAGCCUAGGUCGGAUUAGCUAGUAGGUGAGGUAAUGGCUCACCUAGGCAACGAUCCGUAACUGGUCUGAGAGGAUGAUCAGUCACACUGGAACUGAGACACGGUCCAGACUCCUACGGGAGGCAGCUGUGGGGAAUAUUGGACAAUGGGCGAAAGCCUGAUCCACCCAUGCCGCGUGUGUGAAAAAGGUCUCCGGAUUGUAAAGUACUUUAUUUUGGGAGGAAGGGUUGUAUUUUAAUACGCUUGCAUUCUUGACGUUUCCUACAAAAUAAGCACCGGUUAAUUCUGUGCCAGCAGCCCGCGUUAAUACAGAGGGUGCAAGCUUUUUUCCGAA
rnacentral:rRNA from 1 species